rnacentral:rRNA from 1 species
UACGUAGGAUCCAAGCGUUGUCCGGAAUCACUGGGCGUAAAGGGCGCGUAGGCGGCCAUUCAAGUCAGAGGUGAAAGCCCAAGGCUCAACCUUGGAACUGCCUUUGAUACUGUUUGGCUUGAGACCGGUAGAGGUAAGUGGAACUGCGAGUGUAGAGGUGAAAUUCGUAGAUAUUCGCAAGAACACCAGUGGCGAAGGCGGCUUACUGGACCGGUUCUGACGCUCAGGCGCGACAGCGUGGGGAUCAAACAGG